CGGAUUGCAGCCUGCAACUCGGCUGCAUGAAGCUGGAAUCGCUAGUAAUCGCGGAUCAGAAUGCCGCGGUGAAUACGUUCCCGGGUCUGUACACACCGCCCGUCACACCAUGGGAGUAGGUAAUGCCCGAAGUCGGUGACCUAACCGGAAGGAAGGAGCCGCCGAAGGCAGGACUUAUAACUGGGGUGAAGUCGUAACAAGGUAAC
rnacentral:rRNA from 1 species